rnacentral:rRNA from 1 species
AGUGAACGCUGGCGGCAGGCCUAAUACAUGCAAGUCGAACGGCAGCACAGUGGAGCUUGCUCCAUGGGUGGCGAGUGGCGGACGGGUGAGGAAUACAUGGGAAUCUGCCCAGUCGUGGGGAUAACGUAUGGAAACGUACGCUAAUACCGCAUACGCCUUCGGGGAAGUCGGGACCGCAAGGCCUGACGCGAUUGGAUGAGCCCAUGUUCGAUUAGCUAGUUGGCGGGUAACGGCCCACCAAGGCGACGAUCGAUAGCUGGUCUGAGAGGAUGAUCAGCCACACUGGAACUGAGACACGGUCCAGACUCCUACGGGAGGCAGCAGUAGGGAAUAUUGGACAAUGGGCGCAAGCCUGAUCCAGCCAUGCCGCGUGAGUGAAGAAGGCCCUCGGGUUGUAAAGCUCUUUUGUUGGGGAAGAAAAGGCAGUUGGUUAAUACCCGAUUGUUCUGACGGUACCCAAAGAUAAGCACCGGCUAACUUCGUGCCAGCAGCCGAC